CCAGUCAGUGGGGCUACCAGCUGAGUUUAAAUAAUAUAAAUCGGGAGGAAGAAACUUACAAGGAUUCCCUUAGUAGCAAUGAGAGCAGGAUCAGCCAGCGAGAAUCGGGCGUCGCGUCGUCUGAAUAUAGUCUGGAAGCGUCCUCAGCGGACCCGGACCCAGAAAGUCCCACGGAAGAGCGCCGGGGAGGUGAAACCCGAUCCGGGUUGUUGGGGAAUACAGCCCGGAGUCGGGUUGUAAAUUCCGUCAAAAAAGGCUAAAUAUUCCGUCAAACGAUAGCGAACAAAUCUGCAUGAAAAGAUGAAAAGGACUUUGAAAAGAGAGUCAAAAGUGCUUGAAAUUGCGGGGAGGGGAGCGGAUGGGGGCCCGGCGAUACACCACAGGUCGGAUCAGGAGCGGCGGUUAGUGGUCCGCCCUUCGGCUCAAGGUGCAGAUCGAUCGAGCUGCAUCGGCGGCGGCUUCCAGACCGGAUCGUUCGUUUCGAGGAUACCAUCGAUCGGUCGAGACAUGGCCGCCAUCGGCGUGCCAGAAUACGUGCGACCUGAACAUCGGCCAGUGGGCUCCCCAUCGACCCGUCUUGAAACACGGACCAAGAAGUCGACAUCGUCGCUGUCAGCAGGUGCGAAACCGGAAGGCACAAAAAAAAGCUAACGGGCAGGAACCCUCUCGAGGGUUGCACCGCCCGGCCGACCCGAUCUUCUGUGAAGGGUUCGAUUUGGAACAUGCAUGCCGGGACCCAAAGAUGGUGAACUAUGCUGGCGAAAGCGAGGAAACUUCUGGUGGAGGCCCGGCGAUCUUGGCGAUUAAAUCGUUAAAUCGACUUGGGUAUAGAGGCGAAAAAGACUAAUCGAACCAUCUAGUAGCUGGUUCCCUCUCGAAGUUUCCCUCGGGAUAAACCCCAGCCCGCGUCGCGAGUUCUAUCGGGUAAAGCCAAUGAUUAGAGGCAUCGGGGCGCCGCGCCCUCGACCCUAUUCUCAAACUUUAAAUAGGUAGGGCCGGCGGGCUGCCCGUUGAAACAGCGUCGCGAAUCGAAACUCCAAGUGGGCCAUUUUGGUAAAAGCAGAACUGGCGUCUUGGGAUGAACGGAAGCCGGGAUCUCGAUUGCCCAACUGCUUGCUAACCGAGACACCACAAAAAGGUGUUGGUGGAAUUAAGACAGCAGGGCGGUGGUCAUGGAAGUGAAAUCCGCUAAGGGUGUGUAACAACUCACCUGCGAAUCAACUAGCCCCGAAAUGGAUGGCGCUGAAGCGCGACCCUCCCGACCAUGGGCGGCGCCAAGCCCGAUGAGUAGGAGGCGGCGCGGUCGCCAUAAAACCAAAGCUUGAGCUUCGGGAAGGCGACCGUCGGUGCAGAUCUUGGUGGUAGUAGCAAAUAUUCAAAUGAGAACUUUGAAGGCUGAAGGGGGAAAGGUUCCAUGUGAGCGGCACUUGCACAUGGGUUGGCGAUCUAAGGGCGGGGAAACCCGUCCGUGUCUCCAUGAGCUCCGAAAGAAUCGGGUUAAAAUUCCCGAGCGGGGCCUUGGCGAGACAAGCGUUAGGAAGUCCGGGAGGCGUCGGCGGGGCUCGGGGAAGAAUUAUCUUUUUUGCUUAACGGCCCGCCCACCUGGAAGCACCUCAGGUAGAAAAAUCGGAGGACGGUCCACGAGCGCCCAUGAAAAUCGGAGGACCGACGUGCGCCAUGCCGGUGUACCUCAUAACCUCAUCGGUCUCAAGGUGAAACAGCCUCUGGCCCAUGGAACAAUGUAGGCAAGGGAAGUGGGAAAAAACAGAUCCGUAACCGGAAAAGGAUUGGCUCUGAGGGCUGGGCACGGGGUCCCGACCCCGAACCGUCUUCUGUCGGACUUCCCUGCUCGAGCUGCCUCUGGGCGGAUGCCAGCGAUGCCGGCCAGAGGGGACCGGAAUAGCCCCCUCGGGGGCCUUCCCGGCGUCGAACAACCAUUCAGAACUGAAAUGCGGACAAAGGGGAAUCCGCCUGUUUAAUUAAAACAAAAGCAUUCGCGAUGGUCCCCAUGGAUGCUCCGCAUAAUGUGAUUUCUGCCCGGUGCUCUGAAUGUCAAAGUGAAGAAAUUCAACCAAGCGGGUAAGCGGCGGAGUAACUAUGACUCUCUUAAGGUAGCCAAAUGCCUGGUCAUCUAAUUAGUGGCGCGCAUGAAUGGAUUAACGAAUUCCCACUGUCCUGUCUACUAUCCAGCGAAACCACAGCCAAGGGAACAGGCUUGGCAGAAUCAGCGAGGGAAAAAGACCCUGUUGAGCUUGACUCUAGUCUGACUUUGUGAAAUGACUUGAGAGGUGUAGGAUAAGUGGGGAAGCCGGUUAAGUGAAACACCACUACUUUUAACGUUAUUUUACUUAUUCCGUGAGUGGGAGGCCGGGGGCCCGGCCCUCCAUUUGGACCCAAGGCCGCCUAGCGGGCCGAUCGGCGGAAGACAUUGUCGGUGGGGAGUUUGGCUGGGGUGGCACAUCUGUUAAAAAGAUAGCGCCGGGUGUCUAAGAUGAACUCAACGAGAACAGAAAUCUAAAUAUUGGAACAAAAGGGUAAAAGCUUCGUUUGAUUCUGAUUUCCAGUGCAAUCUGAACCGUGGCGUGGCCUAUCGAUCCUUUAGACCUUGAAUUUGAAGCUAGAGGUGUCAGAAAAAGUUACCACAGGGAUAACUGGCUUGUGGCAAUGGCGUUCAUAAGCGGCGUUGCUUUUUUGAUCGCCGAUGUGGCUCUUCCUAUCAUUGUGAAGCAAAUUCACCAAGUGUUGGAUUGUUCACCCACAAUAGGGAACGUGAGCUGGGUUUAGACCGUGGUGAGACAGGUUAGUUUUACCCUACUGAUGAUGGGUGUGGCGAUAGUAAUUCAACCUAAUGUCGAGAUGAACCGUUGAUUCACACAAUUGGUCAUUAAGCGGUUGAAAAACCAUUGGCGGCUUCUACCGUGUGUCGGUUAUGACUGAGCGCCUCUAAGUCAGAAUCUAGCUAGCAACCGGCUCUCCCGUCGUUAAGCCUCCGACCCACAGUAGGGCCUUUGGUCCCCAUGGACUCAUAAUAGCCGUUGUAGCCCUCGUGGUGGUAUAGCCCGCAGGCGCCAUCGAGGAAGUGAAAUUC
rnacentral:rRNA from 1 species